AUAUCACAAUAAUAAAUGCAUACUUUGGAAAACCGCUGUUCAACAUAUGCUUAAUAAACGAAGAGAGUAUAUCAAAAUUAUAUGAAAUAGUUGUCCAUUUAAUCAUGAAAUUACGCAAUUUUAGGGUUAACUGGAUGAAGAAGCGUUACAUGCCAUAAUCCUCAUCUAGCUAUCUUCAGGUCUGGGUCUGUCGGACGGUAAAGAGCCUUGAUUUACAGGAUCAAUGUGUUCAGCAUAUGGAAUUUAGCACAACAAUUAAGAAGUGAACAAUUUAGAAGCAUGAAAAACAAUUGUCCCACUGGACAUUACGCUUAGCAAUUACAUAAAUGCUACAUUUACGUUGCCUGUGAUAUUAUCAAGCCAACAACGUUUAUCCUACAAGAGGACAAUCAGUAAAUAGAAACUAACCUAUUAAACAAUUUUGAUCUAAAAUAAUUGCGUAUAUAGAAUUACCGUUAGUUUAUCUGCCAGCCAGUUAUAAAUUAAAAGUUUAUAAACUUUGUGAAUGUGAAACAACGAAUCAGCAAUACUUAAUAACCAAACGUACCACGCGAAAAUUGCAAGGAGAAGAACAUUAACUGUAAUAUAAAAAGGCAUAUAAAAGUUUAACCUCCCUAAGUU